rnacentral:rRNA from 1 species
UAGGGAAUCUUCCACAAUGGGCGCAAGCCUGAUGGAGCAACACCGCGUGAGUGAAGAAGGGUUUCGGCUCGUAAAGCUCUGUUGUUAAAGAAGAACACGUAUGAGAGUAACUGUUCAUACGUUGAUGGUAUUUAACCAGAAAGUCACGGCUAACUACGUACCAG